AACGAACUCUGGCGGCGUGCUUUACCCAUUCAAUUCGAACGAGACCUUCGGGUCUACUGGCGCACGGCUGUGUAACUGGUGGGAACCUGCCCUCAAUUUCGGAAUAAUUCUCAGAUAGGGAUGCUAAUACCGGAUAAUGUCUUCGGACGAACGAUCUAUCGCUCAAGGAUGGGCCCGCGUUUCUUUAGCUUGCUGGUAUGGGAGAAGCCUACCAACGCAACGAUCCAUAGCUGAUCUGAGAGGAUGAUCAGCCACACUGGGACUGAGACACGGCCCAGACUCCUACGGGAGGAAGCAGUGGGGAAUAUUGGACAACGGGCGAGAGCGCGAUGCAGCAAUGAGGAGUGAGUGAUGAAGGUGUUAGGGUGGUAAAGCUCUUUUAAACGGGAUGAUAAUGACAGUACCGGGAGAAAAAGCACCGGCUAACUACGUG
rnacentral:rRNA from 1 species